UGGUUCCUGCAGAGCUCAGGAAAAGACGCACCAAAUCCUCAAAUACUAUCAGAAAUAUUCUUCAAAUUUCUUAUCAAAUCUGUUGGUUUAAAUGUCUACAGAUAGAGUGAAAUUGGAAAUGUUUGGCUGUCUCGACGAGAAAAUGAACUAAAACAGUGCACCUAACAAUAGAACAAUUAAACUGUGCUGAACUAGCGAUUACUAAGGAGCCGUCUUGGUAAGUCAUUUAAUUAAUUCACUAUAUUUAUCCUAAAACUUCGUUUAUGUAAAAAUUAAAGGGGUGAAGACGUUUUAAUAAUCAAAAAAAAAAAAAAUUGUAUUCUUGACAUUUUUUUUUGGACGGAAGAGGAGAUAGCAGAAUACUAAUAUUCAAUAAAGUUAAGCAAAAGAAAUCUUUAUGAAAAAUAUUAGCAAGACGGAGAACCAUUUUCCCAAGACCUGUUUAUGUUGAGCGACUAUGCAGCAUAUUUUCUUUCUUUGAAGACCUUCCACAACUAAGUGGGAUCUGUCGAAACAUUCAGAUAUUCUUUUUUCAACAAUAUAGAAAAAUGUUGUAUCUUUUCUCCUUCGUUUUCAGCCCGUGGAAAAGAUUUGCACACUUUGGAAAACUUCUACCUAUUUUCUUCAUAUUAAGAUGACUGUUCCAUCCUACUGCUGUAUGCGUACGUGUUGCUGAAGCGAUAUCAGCUAGAAUUGGGAAAAAUAUGAAAGCAAUGUUUUUUCUCUCUUCCUUUGUGGAACAUACUAAUAAGAUAUUUUUAGAGUAGAACGUGAACUUAGCAAAAGUCAUAAUUUUACUUCUAGCAAAGUUCCAAAAUUUCUUUGGUGGGAGUUGAAUGGAAGCUUUCAAGACUUUGAGGGCGAAAUUUAAAUGCCAUUAUAUAUCGUAAUGUAGAGGGGAACGUUUGAGAUCAUCAGACCACAGUUUCUACCCAUCCAUCAAAAAUGCCUAUCACUAUUUUUGAAAAGUAUUCAGAUUUUUCCGUUUAAAUUUGUCGGGCGCUCUGAAACCAGGAAUUUUCUUUUCAGCUUAACAGCAUCUUAACCAUAUUUGUACAAUUUUUAAUACCAAUAUUUUUAAUAGGUAGAUCCUUUCAACGAUUUUAGUUUACCUAAAUCCAAAUAUUUUUUCGUUUUUAAAAUGUAAAUUUUAAUACAUUUAGCCAAUCGUACAUAACGGAUACUAUGUUAUGUGUGAGGAUAAUUCCAUAUCCAAGCUUAGCUUUUCGCCCUUCUUCUAUCCUUUCAUAAAUAAUGUUUCAUAUAAAAUAGAAUUGAAAUUUUUAGAGAGACUUGUAAUUAAAAGGUCUCUUAUGUAUUGAAAUUUUUUGAAAAUAAAUUAGUUCUCUCUAGAAAAUCUUUAGAAUAUCUUUGCUCUAGAUGGAAAUUAAUGUAUAGCUUGAAGUAUUUCUAUACGAAAGAAAAAAAAGCAGAAAAUUCAAAACGCAGCGCUUUUCUUCUUAGAAUACUUACGUUGGGUCUUGGAAGGUUAUCUUAAGAAAAUCUAUUAAUUCUUUUUUUUAACGUUUGACAAUAAGAAAAUAAUAAAAUAAACUGACAUAAAAUAAAAAAAAAUCUUUCAAAGUGUUUUUUUUACCUGCACAUUCGCGGUAAUUCGUUUUAAGGAACGUUAAAGUGUUUUUAAAACACCUAAUUAAACUUGCGGUGAAAAGCUUAUUAUUGCAAAUUGUUUACACAUUCACGAAAGCAUUCAGUGUCAAAGAGGUUUUGGUAUAUCGUUGGAAUUUUAGCAUUGAAAAAACGUUGCAGUGAAAACUAAAUAUCUUAAGAAAUUGGGUUAAGCUGCCUUGGUUGAGACUUUUGCUAACACAACAGCAUUGUAGGGCUAAACUUCCUUUAAAGCUAAUCAUACCGCAACUAUAUUUAACAGCUAUGGCUUAAGACUAAGCAGGUGUGUAAAUCAUGUUUGCAGUUCUGCCACCCAAAUCCACCUGCAUUGUUCAUUGCGAGGAUGAGGACUCUAUAUGCGGAAAAUCGUAAUAGGAGCUGUUUGUCUAUAAAUACUGUUGCUGUUCUUUUUCUUUUUUUUUUUAAUCUCUUUCUUAAAAGCAACACACAAAAGAAGGAGAGUUGCCUUGGCUCUAGGAAUUUCGAUUUGAAGAAUGUUGUUUGCAGUACACAUCCAACGAUGUUGCAAACAAAUGAUAUUUUGAUAAAAUUCGGCCAAAUGCAGCGGAUAUUUAACUAUAAUCUCCCUUACUGCUUUCUUUUCCCGUUGAAGAAGACAGCUACGCCUUAAUCUGGUUCUAAAAACUUCAUGCUCUCUCUAUUAAUACGUUGUAGACUCGACAGUUCCUUUCAGCCAUUGAUAAUAAAUAAUGAUGAACAAUUGAGAGAGGCUUAUAAAACCAACCAGGCGCGAUUUCCAACAAGUGACCAGAGAAGCUUUACGUUGAUGUUCAAAUGCCAUUAUGACAUGCAUUAAGAUCUGCUUUCAUAAAGCUGUCGGCUUUGACCAAUAUUUUUGAGAAAUUUUAUAUAAAACGCCUAAUGCCCGCAUCGAUCAUUUCACGACAGCAAAGUUGUUUCUAUGGUUCUCUGCUACUACGAGAUCAGACAUUACUGAAGCAGGCGAUAGAAAGUAAUGCUCAAGAGGCGACUUGGGAUAAUAAUGCGUGGACAAGUUGGAUUAUGAGGUCUAUAGCACCUUGCUCUGCAUAUUUACUUAACGAAGUGGCUUGUUCGAAACAAAAUUGAAUUCGUCUGUGUAGUUGCUUUGAAAAUUUUCACUUGAGUGUU